GUUGGAGUGAGGGGCGGCGCGCCGACGUGCAAAUCUUCCGACACUCAUCCCAUGACUGCUCCUCCGCUACCGAGAUGCAGGAUCGAUUAGGUGUGGCCAGUCCUUACCCACAAUCCACCGCGCGGAAUUGGCGGCAAGGCGCCGGGUACUUCAAGAUGGCAGAAAGAUUGAUGACUACCCCUGACUUGAACUGAAAACAAUGACAAAAACAUGUUUUGCAUUGUGCCACCAGAUUUGAUCCAAAAGCUCCCGGCUUUCACUGCAAAUCUCAAUGUCAUCUGCGAACAUCAUGGUCCACUGGGAUUCAAGUCUAACCUCAUCUGUCAGCCUAUCCAUCACCAAUGCAAACAGGAAAGGGCUCAGGGUUGAUCCCUGAUGCAGUCCCACCUCCACAUUAAAUUCCUCUGUCACACCUACAGCACAGCUCACCACUGUUCUGCUGCCCUCAUACGUGUUCUGUACUAUUCUAACAUACUUCUCUGCCACUCCAGACUUUCGCUUGCAGUACCACAGUUCCUCUUUGGGUACUCUGCCAUAGGCUUCCACUAGAUCUAUAAAGACAAUGUCGCUCCUUCUGACCUCCUCUAUACUUCUCCAUCAACACUCUCAAAGCAAAUAAUGCAUCUGUGGUACUCUUUCUAGGCAUGAAACCAUACUGUUUCUAGCAAAUACUCACUUCUGUCCUGAGUCUAGCCUCCAACACUGUUUCGCAUAACUUCAUUGUGUCGGUCAUCAACUUUAUUCCUCUAUUUUUCCCCCACAGUUCUGCACAUCACCCUUAUUCUUAAAAAGGCGCACCAGCACACUUUUCCUCCAUUCCUCAGGCAUCUUUUCACCCGGUAGAAUUCGGUUGAACAACCUGGUCAAAAAUCUCAGAUUCAGGAGGAGCAGUGUGGUUUUCGUCCUGGCCGUGGAACAGUGGACCAGCUCUACACCCUCGGCAGGGUCCUCGAGGGUGCAUGGGAGUUCGCCCAACCAGUCUACAUGUGUUUUGUGGACUUGGAGAAGGCGUUCGACCGUGUCCCUCGGGGAGUCCUGUGGAGAGUGCUUCGGGAGUAUGGGGUACCGA